AGACAUGCAAGUCGCACGGUGUAGCAAUACACAGUGGCGAACGGGUGAGUAAUGAAUCGCUAACGUACCCUGGACUCUGGGAUAGCUGCCCGAAAGGGCAGGUAAUACCAGAUGAUAUAACUUUUCCGCAUGGAGAGGUUCUCAACGGUCCGCCGGUCUGGGAGCGGGCGAUUUCGUAUCAGCUUGUUGGUGAGGUAACGGCUCACCAAGGCGACGACGCGUAGCCGGACUGAGAGGUUGGCCGGCCACAUUGGGACUGAGACACUGCCCAGACUCCUACGGGGGGCUGCAGUAACGAAUCUUCCGCAAUGCACGAAAGUGUGACGGAGCGACGCCGCGUGUAGGACGAAGCCCUUCGGGGUGUAAACUACUGUCAGGGGUUAGAAAGUUCUGAUCAACCCCAGAGGAAGGCACGGCUAACUCUGUGCCAGCAGCCGCGGUAAGACAGAGGUGCCGAGCGUUAGGCGGAAUCACUGGGCUUAAAGCGUGUGUAGGCGGACAAUUAAGUACCUUGUGAAAUCCCACGGCUUAACCGUGGAACUGCUGGGUAUACUGGUUGUCUUGAGCCACUUAGGGGCGAGCGGAACAAAUGGUGGAGCGGUGAAAUGCGUAGAUAUCAUUUGGAACGCCAAUGGUGAAAACAGCUCGCUGGGAGUGUGCUGACGCUGAGACACGAAGCCAG
rnacentral:rRNA from 1 species